CCUACGGGCGGCAGCAGUGGGGAAUAUUGGGCAAUGGGCGCAAGCCUGACCCAGCAACGCCGCGUGAAGGAAGAAGGCUUUCGGGUUGUAAACUUCUAUUCUCAGGGACGAAGCAAGUGACGGUACCUGAGGAAGAAGCCACGGCUCACGACGUGGCAGCAGCCGCGGUAAUACGGAGGUGGCAAGCGUUAUGCGGAUUUACUGGGUGGAAAGGGCGAGUAGGCGGGGGCGCAAGUCAGAUGUGAAAACCACGGGCUCAACCUGUGGCCUGCUUUUGAAACUGUGUUUCUUGAGUACUGGAGAGGCAGACGGAAUUCCUAGUGUAGCGGUGAAAUGCGUAGAUAUUAGGAGGAACACCAGUGGCGAAGGCGGUCUGCUGGAC
rnacentral:rRNA from 1 species